GUGGUUUUAGCUCAGUUGGUUAGAGCAUCGGUUUGUGGUACCGAGGGUCGUGGGUUCGAGCCCCAUAUUCCACCCA
rnacentral:tRNA from 5 species